rnacentral:rRNA from 1 species
CAUACGAGAUAGGAGUCCGUCUCGUGGGCUCGGAGAUGUGUAUAAGAGACAGCAUGUGGACAGUAUGGGAGUGAGAAUGUUGGCAUGAGUAGCGAGAUGUGGGUGAGAAUCCCACAGGCCGUAAACCCAAGGUUUCCAGGGGAAGGUUCGUCCGCCCUGGGUUAGUCGGGACCUAAGCUGAGGCCGAAAGGCGUAGGUGAUGGACAACAGGUUGAUAUUCCUGUACUACCGAUAACCGUUUGAGAGAAGGGAUGACACAGUAGGAUAAGCUAAGCACACUGUUGGUUAUGUGUGCCCAAGCAUUGAGGCAGUCAAAGUAGGCAAAUCCGCUUUGAUAAUGCUGGGAUGUGAUGGGGAGCGAAAUUUAGUAGCGAAGUAGCUGAUUUCACACUGUCAAGAAAAGUCUCUAUCGAGGUUAAAGGUACCCGUACCGCAAACCGACACAGGUGGGUGAGGAGAGUAUCCUAAGGCCAGCGAGAGAACUGUUGUUAAGGAACUCGGCAAAAUGACCCCGUAACUUAGGGAUAAGGGGUGCCACCAUCAGGUGGCCGCAGAGAAUAGGCCCAAGCGACUGUUUACCAAAAACAUAGGUUUCUGCUAAGUCGCAAGACGAUGUAUAGGAGCUGACGCCUGCCCGGUGCUGGAAGGUUAAGGGGAUCUGUUAGAGCAAUCGAAGCAGUGAACUUAAGCCCCAGUAAACGGCGGCCGUAACUAUAACGGUCCUAAGGUAGCGAAAUUCCUUGUCGGGUAAGUUCCGACCCGCACGAAAGGCGUAACGAUUUGGGCACUGUCUCAACAACAGACUCGGUGAAAUUGUAAUUCCGGUGAAGAUGCCGGAUACCUGCGACAGGACGGAAAGACCCCAUGGAGCUUUACUGUAGCUUGACAUUGGGUCUUGGUACUACAUGUACAGGAUAGGUGGGAGGCUUUGAAACCAGGACGCCAGUUUUGGCGGAGCCAUCCUUGGGAUACCACCCUUGUAGUACUGGGACUCUAACCAUAGGCCAUGAAUCUGGUCUUGGGACACUGUCA